rfam:Yersinia bercovieri ATCC 43970 contig01145, whole genome shotgun sequence.
GAAUUUUUGAUUAACGCUUGUAAAUGAACCGCCUUAAUGUCGUCGUGCAGACAUUAAAUCGGCUUAUGCACAAGUCACUUGGAAG